CCUACGGGGGGCAGCAGUGGGGAAUAUUGCACAAUGGGGGAAACCCUGAUGCAGCGACGCCGCGUGGAGGAUGACGGCCUUCGGGUUGUAAACUCCUUUUGUCAGGGACAAUGGUGAUGGUACCUGACGAAUAAGCCACGGCUAACUCUGUGCCAGCAGCCGCGGUAAGACAGAGGUGGCGAGCGUUGUUCGGAAUUACUGGGCUUAAAGGGCGCGUAGGCGGUGGUGUAAGUCUGGGGUGGAAUGCUACAGCUCAACUGUAGAGCUGCCUUGGAAACUGCAUUACUUGAGUCGGUGAGGGGAAGGCGGAAUUCCUGGUGUAGCGGUGAAAUGCGUAGAUAUCAGGAGGAAGGUCUGUGGCGAAGGCGGCCUUCUGGCACUUGACUGACGCUGAGGCGCGAAAGCGUGGGGAGCAAACAGGCUUAGAUACCCCAGUAGUC
rnacentral:rRNA from 1 species